rnacentral:rRNA from 1 species
AGCUAGGGGAGCAAACGGGAUUAGAUACCCCGGUAGUCCUAGCUGUAAACGAUGUGGACUUGGCGUUGGUGGGGUUAAAUCCAUCAGUGCCGUAGCUAACGCGAUAAGUCCACCGCCUGGGGACUACGUUCGCAAGAUUAAAACUCAAAGGAAUUGGCGGGGGCCCGCACAAGCAGCGGAGCGUGUGGUUUAAUUCGAUGCUACACGAAGAACCUUACCCGGGUUUGACAUCCAGGUGGUAGGGAGCCGAAAGGUGACCGACCCUUCGGGGAGCCUGGACAGGUGCUGCAUGGCUGUCGUCAGCUCGUGUCGUGAGAUGUCCGGUUAAGUCCGGUAACGAGCGCAACCCUUGCUGUAUGUUACAAGUGUCAUACAGGACUGCCGGUUUAGAACCGGAGGAAGGCGGGGAUGACGUCAAGUCAGCAUGGCCUUUAUAUCCGGGGCUACACACACGCUACAAUGGCCAGUACAACAGGUUGCAAAACCGCGAGGUGGAGCCAAUCCCCAAAACUGGUCUCAGUUCAGAUUGCAGGCUGCAACUCGCCUGCAUGAAGUCGGAGUUGCUAGUAACCGCGCGUCAGCUAUAGUGCGGUGAAUACGUUCUCGGGCCUUGCACACACCGCCCGUCACGUCAUGGAAGCUGGCAACACCUGAAGCCGGUAUCCUAACCGCAAGGAUGGAGCCGUCGAAGGUGGGGCUGGUGACUGGGACGAAGUCGUAACAAGGUAACCGUA